rnacentral:rRNA from 1 species
CCAAGAUUCCUUUAGUAGCGGCGAGCGAAACAGGAAAAGCCCAGCACUAAGCCCUCCGGUCGUAAUGGCCGGUAGGGGAUGCAGUGUAUGGAAAGUCUAUUAUCUUAGGUGACGCAGUACGUUCAAGUCCAUCUUGAAUGGGGCCAUUUACCCAUAGAGGGUGCCAGGCCCGUGCAAACUGCUGCUAGCUUAAGAAGGCUAUUCCAAAGAGUCGUGUUGCUUGAUAGUGCAGCACUAAGUGGGUGGUAAACUCCAUCUAAGGCUAAAUAUAACCACGAGACCGAUAGCGAACAAGUACCGUGAGGGAAAGUUGAAAAG